rnacentral:SRP_RNA from 1 species
UCGUGCUAGCCGGGGAACUAGCGGUGCCCUGCACCCACAAUCCGCUUUAGUGGGGGUGAAUUCCCGCCCGAGGUUUCGUCAUUUGGGGUCUGACCCCCGUAAGCGGUGUUGAAGGUUGGGUCCCACGCAAGGGGACAUUGCUGAACCCCGUCAGGUCCGGAAGGAAGCAGCGGUAGGCAACCCGUCCCUUGUGCCGUGGACCACCUGGCCGGAGCUAGCUGCGAGGGUAACGCCUGGGUGGGGCUAUCGACGGCGGGUGCACGA